rnacentral:rRNA from 1 species
GUGUACGUACAAGCAGUGGGAGCACCCUUCGGGGUGUGACUGCGUACCUUUUGUAUAAUGGGUCAGCGACUUAUAUUCUGUAGCAAGGUUAACCGAAUAGGGGAGCCGGAGGGAAACCGAGUCUUAACCGGGCGUUAAGUUGCAGGGUAUAGACCCGAAACCCGGUGAUCUAGCCAUGGGCAGGUUGAAGGUUGGGUAACACUAACUGGAGGACCGAACCGACUAAUGUUGAAAAA